rnacentral:rRNA from 1 species
UACGUAGGGUCCAAGCGUUAUCCGGAAUCACUGGGCGUAAAGCGUGCGUAGGUGGUAAUUGCGUGCAGUGCGAAAUUGUGUGGCUCAACCAUACAACGGUACUGCAUACGGGAUUACUAGAGGACAUGAGAGGCAAGUGGAAUUACUGGUGUAGCAGUGAAAUGCGUAGAUAUCAGUAGGAACACCAAUGGCGAAGGCAGCUUGCUGGCAUGUAUCUGACGCUAAGGCACGAAAGCGUGGGGAGCGAACAGG